CACAAACACUCCAGUCUAAACCAAUCAGGCCAUUGAGUUCGAGAGAAAAAUGCAUUUAGAUCAAAGAGCCUCGUGACUGUGGAUUAUCAGAUGAUCGGCUGAUAACACGCCGUCCUUUGUGCCUGCGGUUGCUGAGAAACGGCGGGUAGUUCAUGUGAGUCGAGCGGGAGCUGACUGAGGGAUGCUGGGAAUCAAAGUCUGUUUAUUAAAUACUGUAUGAGUGACGCCUCUGCAGGAUGAAUCGGCUGCGGUCGCUGCGAUGACAGUUAUCAGUGACAGCCUUCAUCGUGUUUCAUCAGCGCUGGACGCGAGCCACCUCCUCAGUAAGCCUGCGGAUCACACUGGAUGCUUUUCCAACUCGCUGUCCUCGGAUGAACCGAAGGCCGCUGCCAAGAUUCAGCUCAGUUUAUAGAAGGUAACUGGGUUACAAACCAACCAGCACAACAGAGAGAUGCAGGCCCAGAGAAUGAACCAGUCAGUACUGAGGAAACACACAGUAAACUGAAAACUCCAGAUCUGGACCGGGUUUGUUGAUGUUGACCGUUCAUGUGGUGAAAUCCUCAAACACACGACGAGAGCUGCUGUUCAGAGGACAAUCCUCAGCUGACUAAUGCUAGAAAAAGAUGUCACCGCAAAGGACUGCAGUCGGGAUGAAGAUGACGUAGGUCUCGUUUUGCACUGAUGCAGCGUUCCUGUUUCAGACUCUUUCUGCUACAAACCUUCUGACUCUCUUAAACUGAGUGAAGAACAUAGUUAAGCAACACACAUUCAGCAGAAUGACCUCAUGGCUGUCAGAAGAGCUGCUUCCAUGGAAACACCAUAAUCCAGUUUACAAAGAGACGGCGAGACAACGCUCCUCAAGUGCCUCAUCUAGACAUACACUCCUGUUCCUCUGACAUGAUUCACCUGAUCCUGAAGAAUGCCACAAUGAGAGCAGACUUUUGUUGUUGUUGCUUUCACAAAGAAUAGCCUAAGAAAUCUCCGAUAUCUCCACAGCCUGAAUAUUAUUUGUAUGAACUAAGCUGUUUGCAUUAAGAAUUAUAAACCAAAGGAACGAUUCAUUUCUUCUGAAAGAGUGUUUAGAGUGAGUUUCAUCAUCAUCUGAAUGCUCUGUUUGUCUUUGUCUCAUUUCAACAGUUUAUUCUGUGUUGAAGAUGUUUGAGGUUACAGCAGUUGAUUCUGGAAGGAUAUUACACUCGUAAACAAAACUCCAUAUGACUGACGAACAAAAUCUGCUACUCGAGUUGCAUCAUGACAUUCGGUUCAGACGCUCACCUCAG
ensembl:lncRNA